AGGUAGGUUUGGGUUGGAGACAGGGAUGAGGCAGAGCAUGGGAUGGGGCCAUCAACAGACAAAUUCCAUUUCUUUUCCAAUUCGAAAACAUGUUUGCUUCCUUGCCUGCGAAAGUGAGGGAGGGGAGUUGUGAGAAGUGAUUUGCUCGGAGAAAAGGAGGAGAGGUUUCAGGCACCAAAGGCUGAGAGCUCCGCUGGUGUUGUUGCUCCCUCCCCUGCACUGCCUCUUCCCUGGCUCCCCAACAGCCACCGGCCC
rnacentral:pre_miRNA from 1 species